rnacentral:rRNA from 1 species
CCAAUAGCGUAUAUUAAAGUUGCUGCAGUUAAAAAGCUCGUAGUUGAAUUUCGGGACCAAUAUGUCGGUCGUGCCUCGGUACGUACUGGCAUCGUUGGUUUCUCCCUUCUGACGAACCAUGAUGUCAUUUAUUUGGUGUUGUGGGGAAUCAGGACUGUUACUUUGAAAAAAUUAGAGUGUUUAAAGCAGGCUCACGCUUGAAUACAUUAGCAUGGAAUAAUGAAAUAGGACGUUUGAUUCUAUUUUGUUGGUUUCUAGGAUCGACGUAAUGGUUAAUAGGGAUAGUUGGGGGCAUUAGUAUUCAAUUGUCAGAGGUGAAAUUCUUGGAUUUAUUGAAGACUAACUACUGCGAAAGCAUUUGCCAAGGAUGUUUUCAUUAAUCAAGAACGAAAGUUAGGGGAUCGAAGACGAUCAGAUACCGUCGUAGUCUUAACCAUAAACUAUGCCGACUAGGGAUCGGAUGAUGUUAAUUUUUUAAUGACUCAUUCGGCGCCUUACG